CCUACGGGGGGCUGCAGUGAGGAAUAUUGGUCAAUGGACGAGAGUCUGAACCAGCCAAGUAGCGUGAAGGAUGACUGCCCUAUGGGUUGUAAACUUCUUUUAUAUGGGAAUAAAAUGUUCCACGUGUGGGACUUUGUAUGUACCAUAUGAAUAAGGAUCGGCUAACUACGCUCCAGCAGCCGCGGUAAUAUGGAGGGUCCGAGCGUUAUCCGGAUUUAUGGGGUUUAAAGGGCGCGUAGGUGGAUUGUUAAGUCAGUUGUGAAAGUUUGCGGCUCAACCGUAAAAUUGCAGUUGAAACUGACAGUCUUGAGUACAGUAGAGGUGAGCGGAAUUCGUGGUGUAGCGGUGAAAUGCUUAGAUAUCACGAAGAACUCCGAUGGCGAAGGCAACUCACUGGACUGCAACUGACACUGAGGCUCGAAAGUGUGGGUAUCAAACAGGAUUAGAUACCCCUGUAGUC
rnacentral:rRNA from 1 species